rnacentral:tRNA from 1 species
GCUCCGUUAGUCUAGCGGCCAAGGAUUCGGCCCUUUCGAGGAAGUUUUAAAAAAAAGCUUCAGCAAAAUAAAGCAAAGAGAAGAAAGGCCGAGACCCGGGUUCAAAUCCCGGACGGAGCA